GACAGAGGGUGCAAACGUUGUUCGGAAUUACUGGGCGUAAAGCGUGUGUAGGCGGUCCUCUAAGUCGGAUGUGAAAUCCCUGGGCUCAACCCAGGAAGUGCACUCGAAACUGGAGGGCUAGAGUAUCGGAGAGGUUGGUGGAAUUCUCGGUGUAGAGGUGAAAUGCGUAGAUAUCGAGAGGAACACCGGUGGCGAAGGCGGCCAACUGGACGAAUACUGACGCUGAGACACGAAAGCGUGGGGAGCGAACAGG
rnacentral:rRNA from 1 species